CCUACGGGGGGCAGCAGUGAGGAAUAUUGGUCAAUGGGCGCGAGCCUGAACCAGCCAAGUAGCGUGAAGGAUGACUGCCCUAUGGGUUGUAAACUUCUUUUAUAAAGGAAUAAAACGAGGCACGUGUGCCUUUUUGCAUGUAAUUUAUGAAUAAGGAUCGGCUAAAUCCGUGCCAGCAGCCGCGGUAAUACGGAGGAUCCGAGCGUUAUCCGGGUUUAUUUGGUUUAAAGGGAGCGUAGAUGGGUUGUUAAGUAAGUUGGGAAAGUUUGCGGCUCAACCGUAAAAUUGCAAUUGAUACUGGCAGUCUUGAGUACAGUUGAGGUAAGCGGAAUUCGUGGUGUAGCCGUGAAAUGCUUCGAUAUCACGAAGAACCCCGAUUGCGAAGGCAGCUUACUAAACUGUGACUGACAUUGAUGCUCGAAAGUGUCGGUAUCAAACCGGAUUAGAUACCCGGGUAGUC
rnacentral:rRNA from 1 species